AUGACUCUAAACUCUGUUGUUGUUGCUGUUGCAGGAGAAGGAGCACGCCCAGGAGAAGAAGGAUCGGGAGAAGGCCCUGAGGACCUGGGAUCGCUGCUGCUAGAUCUGGAUCUGGGACCUGGGACUGCUGCUGCCGCGUGCUCCUUCUGGGAGACGAGGACCCUCCUUGGCGCCCCUGGAUCGCUGCUGCUGGACGCCCCUGGAUCGCUGCUGCUGGACGCCCCUGGAUCGCUGCUGCUGGAGACGAGGACCUGGGCCUGGGAGCGCUGA
rnacentral:rRNA from 1 species